rnacentral:rRNA from 1 species
UCCAGACUCCUACGGGAGGCAGCAGUGGGGGAUAUUGCACAAUGGGGGGAACCCUGAUGCAGCGACGCCGCGUGGGUGAAGAAGCGCCUCGGCGCGUAAAGCCCUGUCAGCAGGGAAGAAAAUGACGGUACCUGAAGAAGAAGCCCCGGCUAACUACGUGCCAGCAGCCGCGGUAAUACGUAGGGGGCAAGCGUUAUCCGGAUUUACUGGGUGUAAAGGGAGCGCAGGCGGCACGGCAAGCCUGAUGUGAAACCCCGGGGCUCAACCCCGGGCAUGCAUUGGGAACUGGCGGGCUGGAGUGCCGGAGAGGUAAGCGGAAUUCCUAGUGUAGCGGUGAAAUGCGUAGAUAUUAGGAAGAACACCAGUGGCGAAGGCGGCUUUCUGGACUGAAACUGACGCUGAGGCACGAAAGCGUGGGGAGCGAACAGGAUUAGAUACCCGUGUACG